rnacentral:rRNA from 1 species
GAUGAACGCUAGCGGCAGGCUUAAUACAUGCAAGUCGAGGGGCAGCAGGACUGUAGCAAUACAGUUGCUGGCGACCGGCAAACGGGUGCGGAACACGUACGCAACCUACCCAAAACUGGGGGUUAGCCCGGGGAAACCCGGAUUAUUACCCCGUAACCUUUUUAAGUGCCAUACCUUGUAAAGAUUACCUCCGCCGGUUUUGGAUGGGCGUGCGCCUGAUUAGGUAGUUGGUGCGGGUAACGGCCCACCAAGCCUGCGAUCAGUAACUGGUGUGAGAGCACGACCAGUCACACGGGCACUGAGACACGGGCCCGACUCCUACGGGAGGCAGCAGUAAGGAAUAUUGGUCAAUGGACGCAAGUCUGAACCAGCCAUGCCGCGUGAAGGAUGAAGGUCCUCUGGAUUGUAAACUUCUUUUAUGGGGGACGAAACCCGGAUAUUCUUAUCCGAUUGACGGUACCUCAGGAAUAAGCACCGGCUAACUCCGUG